GAUGAAGAACGUAGCGAAAUGCGAUAAGUAAUGUGAAUUGCAGAAUUCCGUGAAUCAUCGAAUCUUUGAACGCACAUUGCGCCCUACAGUAUUCUGGCGGGCAUGCCUGUCUGAGCGUCACUUCAACCCUCAUGCCCCUAGGGCGUGGUGUUGGGGAUCGGCCAAAGCCCGCGAGGGACGGCCGGCCCCUAAAUCUAGUGGCGGACCCGUCGUGGCCUCCUCUGCGAAGUAGUGAUAUUCCGCAUCGGAGAGCGAUGAGCCCCUGCCGUUAAACCCCCAACUUUCCAAGGUUGACCUCAGAUCAGGUAGGAAUACCCGCUGAACUUAAGCAUAUCAAUAAGAGGAGGA
rnacentral:misc_RNA from 1 species